rnacentral:lncRNA from 1 species
AAAAGACCUACGUGUGAACUAAUGCAAGCAGCUAAUGCCAAGCCUAACAUGCUCCAUAUGUGUUAGAAGUUUUAAGAUUUGACCUUCGAGAGCUGAGGGCAGGCCUCUGUCAGAACAGAGUAUGGAACAUGAAAUUGGUUAUGGAGCCGGACGAGAGGCUGAGAAUGUGGAUCGUCCUCCGAAGACGCUGUCCAGGGAAGACCUGGAGUGAAUCAUGGGCCAAGGGUGGAGGCCAAGUUACGGGGACAGAGAGGCGAAGACAAGGGCAGCAGUGCCCACAACAGGAAUUCCUACCCUUCAACUUUGUUCAUAGUGGUCCCUACUUUUAAUAUAUGUAAUGUAUUAAGACAGACAAUUCUGAGGUUGUAGUAACAAGGGAAAUGCAACUGGCACAGACAACCACUGAUUCUUUUUUUCAUGACUCCCCUAUUCGUGCUAACCUUUGUUCUGUGCCAAGUUCAUGACAAACCCCAGUUCAUUCCUGCAGCAAUGGGGGAAACUCUAAUCUUUGAGGGUAUUGGAAGGCUUCUGCCCUGCAGUCUUGUUGUGGGUUUACGCCUCCAAUUCCUACCCUGGGCUCUGUGAGAUGGGGAGUAGUAGAGGCUGUGAUCAGGCCACUGGGGAAUACCCAAGUCCAAGCAGGCUUGACAUCCACAUGUGCAGUCAAUUCUUGAUUAUCCACACCAAUGGUCUGUGACCCAGGCCCAGGUAAUCCCAAAUAAUUGACAAUCCAAAAGGAAUUUUCUCUUUGGUUUUGGAAUAUGCUUUGCUUUUUCCAGCUGCAGAUCCCCUCUCCCACUUACACUUUCCUUGUCGGAUAUUAAGAAUCAUUUAUGUUCCUUUAGUUGGGCACUUGGUCUGAGCAAUGGCUUGAAGUCAGCUUCAUAUUGAAAAUUUG